UGUACAUUUUAAUCUGAUUAAUUCCUAAGGAUUUAAAAUUAAUUGGCUUGGGCACUCCUAGACCGGACUAUAAGAUUUCUGCAGCAGGGUUUCUGCGAGCCCUGGACCGAAUAGGAACCGUGCCUCGCACGCUGUUGUCAGAGCAAAACACUUUUGCUGCCUUAAGUCAGACCUGCUCCUUUUGCAAUAAUACAGGAUAAAUAAUUGCCUUAAAGCCUGAGCCGCGCUGCCAACCACACCUUCGGCGGUCAGAAGGCAGAAAUAUGUGAACUGCUGAGAGAGGUGGGUACUUUUUGGUAAGUAUGUUUAGAUAUGAUCUUCAGAUACAUUUAUUGUACUUUCAAAUUCUUUGGAUACUAAUUGAGCUAGCAAACAAUAUCCCAGCUGAAUGUCUCAACUCCUUCCCUAUUUAACAAGCACUUAAUACAGAUUUAUAUUGUAGCCAUCCAUCUAGUGAACAAUAUAGCUGAGCAGUCAACAAAAAAUAAAAAAAAUGUUAAAACCAAAUUAUACGUGCUGCCUUAUAUCUGACUCCUCUUCCUUUCUGCACCCCUGAAAUUGAACUCUUUACAGAUUAUAUAUUUUUUUUAAUUUCUGAGUGACAGGUCAAAAAUAAUUUGCAGAAUCAGAAGCGGAUGGAAGUUUCAAAUAAUGUCUCUAAAUAUUUCAUAUUCCUACUUAUAAUACCAGCCCACCAGCUGUAAAAAGGAACCAUUCCCUAUUUUUUUUCUCUGCUAGUUUAAAACUACAGAAGGAUAGAUUAUUUAGGCUGGCAGUUCCUAUUUUCCAGGGCCUGCCUCAGAGAUGACAUAAAUAGAGAUUGAACGAUCAGAAAAACAAAACAAAACAAAACCCAAAAUAAAACCCACAGCCUGGACAGGAAUAGAGACAGACAGCUAUAUAACUGCAUCUGAACAAUGUUACAUACUACAUUAGGGGGUGGUCAAAAAAAUAGAUUGCAUAUUUAUAACCUCAUAAUUAAAAUACAUCCUUAUCUCUCUCCUUUGAAAGGUUGCAGCUUUCUUGGAAGUAUUUUGAGUGCAUAUUUUAAGCUCCAUGUCCUGAAUUGAAUUAAGAUGAGCUGUUUUGCCCAAUACUAAAAUACUAGUUUGCAAUUUAAGUUUUAAGUUUCAACCACCUAUCAGUCACUCUGUCAUUUUCUUUGUAUUUUUCUCUCCUUAUGUUCGCAGACCUUAUAUAAAACAGUGUUAGUUUAUACCAGAUUCUAAUUUCUGCAUGCAAGAAAUUAGUUAAUAUCAUCCAAAAGAAUUGCCUGUGUUUGACAGAGGUAAAUUGGAUGAGAUUUUUUCUCAUGCAAAAAGAGUUCAAGCCAAACCGAAAACUUAAAGCAAAGGGAUACCAGCAAACAGUGAAAAAUGGCACGUCUGCUCCCUCUUGACAAGCUUGCAUUAUAUCACAUGCUAGGAAACACAAAUUUCUGAAUCUAAGACCAGUUUUAGUUUUUAAUAGGAAAUAAUUACAUGGAACUUUAUUUCCAGCGAGAACGUCCCUUCCAGCUACAGAGUUCUGCUUUGAUCUGAGUAUUAACUGGUAAUAAAAUAACCAUAUUUUGGAUCCCAAGCAUAUUGAUGCUUAAAGGAAUGUUAUGCUUUCAAUCAAACUCUAACUUCAGAUUAUCCAAAGGUAUUCAUCCUCCCUUUGUCAGAAACCAAUUUGUUCUUUUACUCCAGCAGCCACUUACACGUGUUUUGCUAUAUUUUGUCAUUUUAUAGUAGAAUUUGCACUAUCGAGGCGGAAAACUUCUACAUGGAGUAAGAUCAUGUUCCAGCCUGGCAAUUUGUGCUGCUUAGCACACAGCCCCCCAGCCCGGCCAUUCUUUGCACUUGUUGUACUCCACCACCAUCGCUCAUCUCGGAGGGUGACUACUGCGAACGCCUUCUGAGCAGGGUUUUGUUUUAAAUCUCCAGAUUUUUAUUUUUUCUUUUAGAUUUAUUUUUUACCUGCCGAAUCAAUCACUGGGAGCCAUCCCGAACAAUUAACCUCCCCUUUAUAUGAUGGACCCAAGCGCAGCGCUUCAUAAAGACAUGAAAAGGACAUCCCAGACACCAGGACCCGAGCCCAGGCUUGUCACAGAGCAUAAAAGGAGAGCGAAGGGGAGUUUUUAUCUCCUUGCCCUGCAAACUCUUAACAGGUCUAAGUUUUGGUGUGACAAUAAACCAGUUUUGAUAACGCAGCUCAUGGGUUUCUAUGCCACAUAAAGUUUUCUUAAUAAUAAAAAAGAAGAAACUUUAUCCCUGCUAAAUUAAAAUAGGGCAGAUGUUGGAUAUGGUUCGUGUUAGCCAGCCUUUCACCCCUUUGCCCCUGGCACUAAAGUUCUGACUUUUGCUUUAUACCAUGUCUGUUUCUAACUGGAAGGUAUUAGUCCUGCCCUCACUCUCUUCUCAUAUUUGUUUUUUCAGCAUCUAAAAUUAAACCUAUUCAUUUAGCAACAUACAUUCUACUUCGGCUUGCUAAACCUGGCCAGGGAGGGGAAACUUUUUCCAAAAAGUGAUGCACCACUGACCCUAAAAGAAAACACAAGGCAGGGAAAACUGUUCUUAAAAGGUUUAUUUCUAGAGAGUUUUGUAGCUCUGUUGACAUUACAGGGAUAAUGGCUGUAUUGCAAUGGGCUUUCAAGGCCCAAGAGGUUUACGUUUGCUUCUGACCAUAAGUAUAAUAAAAUUUUAAAGGUGCAGGAAGUCUCAUCACUUUAUAUAUUUAAAACUAGAUUGAAAAAAAAACUUGGGAAACAUACAUUACAGUGGGCAGCCCUGCUGAAAAAGAAGGGCAUAGGCAAACUUAAAAAAACCCACCAACAUCCCCCCCAACCCAAAGCAA